rnacentral:lncRNA from 10 species
GGUGCUAAGCUGGGCCCAUUACGGUUGGAAAAUCCUGGAGCCCAGAAAGGUGAAGCAAACUGCCUGAGGUCAAGCUCAUAAUGUGAAGUGGAGCUGCAAUGUCUACUCAAGAGUGUCUGACAUCUGCACUUUUUACUCUGCCAGGUAAGAAGACCCUCACCAGAUGUGGCCCCUCACUCCUGGACUUCCAAGCCUCCAGAAUCAUGAACUAAAUACAUUUCUAUUUGUUAUAAAUUACUCAGCCUCAGGUAUUGCUAGAGCAGUAGAAAACAGACUGAGAAAGGCUGUGUCUCCCUCCUCAGACUGAAGGAUCUUUGUGAUCAGAUGCUGUGUCUAUAUCCUUUGUUCAUUUGUUUGAUAUUUGCUGAGGACCUUUUAAGUGCCAGGCACUAUUCUAGAUUCAGAAUACUAUGUUGAAAAGACAGACAAAACCACUGGUCUCAUGGAACUUACAAGUUAGUUGCGACAAAUGACAAUAAACAACAAACAAUUUUAGGUUACAAUAAGUACUAAGAAGCAAAUAAAAGCAGCAUAAUCGU